rnacentral:rRNA from 1 species
UACGUAGGGGGCAAGCGUUAUCCGGAUUUAUUGGGCGUAAAGAGCUCGUAGGCGGUCUGUCGCGUCGGUCGUGAAAACUUGGGGCUUAACCCUGAGCUUGCGGUCGAUACGGGCAUGACUGGAGUUCGGCAGGGGAGACUGGAAUUCCUGGUGUAGCGGUGAAAUGCGCAGAUAUCAGGAGGAACACCGGUGGCGAAGGCGGGUCUCUGGGCCGAUACUGACGCUGAGGAGCGAAAGCGUGGGGAGCGAACAGG